rnacentral:lncRNA from 1 species
GUUGACAAGCAAUUUUGAUGCUAGAGGAUAUGUAGCCCUUAUGGUGGAUCGUGAAUCAACUAUGUGCUAGGUUGAGGAAUUGAGGUGGCAAAGGUGCAGUGUUGAUAAGGUGGUACAUGCAUGGGUAAGUUUAGAUUCAGAUUCUUUAUGGGCUUGGUUCUGACCUAAUCUUAUUGAGUAGGGCCUUAUUUAAGUCAAGUUAUGACCCGGUUCAUGCCCACAUAUACACUUGUAUUCAAACAUAUAUGCAUCUAUAGGGGUGUGUGUGUGUGUGUCUAUAUAUAUAUAUGUGCAUACAUGUUGGUGCUGGGGGCCAAAUGGUUUUAAUGUUCCUAGGGCAUAACUCAAUUGUGCCCAAGGUUUUCUAUUUGGGUGCCCGUCCUUAUACUG